rnacentral:rRNA from 1 species
GACGAACGCUGGCGGCGUGCUUAACACAUGCAAGUCGAACGGAAAGGCCCUGCUUUUGUGGGGUGCUCGAGUGGCGAACGGGUGAGUAACACGUGAGUAACCUGCCCUUGACUGUGGGAUAACUUCAGGAAACUGGGGCUAAUACCGGAUAGGAGCUCCUGCUGCAUGGGGGGGGUUGGAAAGAUUCGGCGGUGGGGGAUGGAUUCGCGGCUUAUCAGCUGGUUGGUGAGGUAGUGGCUUCCGAAGGCUUUGACGGGUAGCCGGCCUGGGAGCGUGACCGGCCUCAAUGGGCCUACGGGACGGCGCAGACUCCUAUGGGAGGCAGUGGUCGGGAAUCUUGCACAACGGGCGCAAGCCUGAUGCAGCAGCGCUGCGUGCGUAAUGCCGUCCUUCGGGUUGUAAACCGCUUUCGCCUGUGACGAAGCGUUAGUGACGGUACCGGGUAAAGAAGCACCGGCUAACUACGUG